rnacentral:rRNA from 1 species
UAUUAACGCUGGCGGCGUGCUUAACACAUGCAAGUCGAACGAUGAAGCCCAGCUUGCUGGGUGGAUUAGUGGCGAACGGGUGAGUAACACGUGAGUAACCUGCCCUUGACUCUGGGAUAAGCCUGGGAAACUGGGUCUAAUACUGGAUAUGACUUCUCAUCGCAUGGUGGGGGGUGGAAAGAUUUAUUGGUCUUGGAUGGACUCGCGGCCUAUCAGCUUGUUGGUGAGGUAAUGGCUCACCAAGGCGACGACGGGUAGCCGGCCUGAGAGGGUGACCGGCCACACUGGGACUGAGACACGGCCCAGACUCCUACGGGAGGCAGCAGUGGGGAUUAUUGCACAAUGGGCGCAAGCCUGAUGCAGCGACGCCGCGUGAGGGAUGACGGCCUUCGGGUUGUAAACCUCUUUCAGUAGGGAAGAAGCGAGAGUGACGGUACCUGCAGAAGAAGCGCCGGCUAACUACGUG